rnacentral:rRNA from 1 species
AUGAACGCUAGCUACAGGCUUAACACAUGCAAGUCGAGGGGCAGCAUCAUCAAAGCUUGCUUUGAUGGAUGGCGACCGGCGCACGGGUGAGUAACACGUAUCCAACCUGCCGACAACACUGGGAUAGCCUUUCGAAAGAAAGAUUAAUACCGGAUGGCAUAGUUUUCCCGCAUGGGAUAAUUAUUAAAGAAUUUCGGUUGUCGAUGGGGAUGCGUUCCAUUAGGCAGUUGGCGGGGUAACGGCCCACCAAACCAACGAUGGAUAGGGGUUCUGAGAGGAAGGUCCCCCACAUUGGAACUGAGACACGGUCCAAACUCCUACGGGAGGCAGCAGUGAGGAAUAUUGGUCAAUGGACGAGAGUCUGAACCAGCCAAGUAGCGUGAAGGAUGACUGCCCUAUGGGUUGUAAACUUCUUUUAUACGGGAAUAAAGUGAGCCACGUGUGGCUUUUUGUAUGUACCGUAUGAAUAAGGAUCGGCUAACUCCGUGCCAGCAGCCGCGGUAAUACGGAGGAUCCGAGCGUUAUCCGGAUUUAUUGGGUUUAAAGGGAGCGUAGGCGGGUUGUUAAGUCAGUUGUGAAAGUUUGCGGCUCAACCGUAAAAUUGCAGUUGAUACUGGCGACCUUGAGUGCAACAGAGGUAGGCGGAAUUCGUGGUGUAGCGGUGAAAUGCUUAGAUAUCACGAAGAACUCCGAUUGCGAAGGCAGCUUACUGGAUUGUAACUGACGCUGAUGCUCGAAAGUGUGGGUAUCAAACAGGAUUAGAUACCCUGGUAGUCCACACAGUAAACGAUGAAUACUCGCUGUUGGCGAUAUACAGUCAGCGGCCAAGCGAAAGCAUUAAGUAUUCCACCUGGGGAGUACGCCGGCAACGGUGAAACUCAAAGGAAUUGACGGGGGCCCGCACAAGCGGUGGAGCAUGUGGUUUAAUUCGAAGCAACGCGAAGAACCUUACCAGGGCUUGACAUAUACAGGAAUAGCUUAGAGAUAAGUUAGCUCUUCGGAGUCUGUAUACAGGUGGUGCAUGGUUGUCGUCAGCUCGUGCCGUGAGGUGUCGGCUUAAGUGCCAUAACGAGCGCAACCCUUACGGGUAGUUACCAUCAGGUUAUGCUGGGGACUCUACCCGGACUGCCGUCGUAAGAUGUGAGGAAGGUGGGGAUGACGUCAAAUCAGCACGGCCCUUACGUCCGGGGCUACACACGUGUUACAAUGGGGGGUACAGAAGGCAGCUACACGGCGACGUGGUGCUAAUCCCAAAAGCCUCUCUCAGUUCGGAUUGGAGUCUGCAACCCGACUCCAUGAAGCUGGAUUCGCUAGUAAUCGCGCAUCAGCCACGGCGCGGUGAAUACGUUCCCGGGCCUUGUACACACCGCCCGUCAAGCCAUGAAAGCCGGGGGUACCUGAAGUACGUAACCGCGAGGAGCGUCCUAGGGUAAAACUGGUGAUUGGGGCU